rnacentral:rRNA from 1 species
GACGAACGCUGGCGGCGUGCCUAAUACAUGCAAGUUGAGCGCUGAAGGUUGGUACUUGUACCAACUGGAUGAGCAGCGCACGGGUGAGUAACGCGUGGGGAAUCUGCCUUUGAGCGGGGGACAACAUUUGGAAACGAAUGCUAAUACCGCAUAAAAACUUUAAACACAAGUUUUAAGUUUGAAAGAUGCAAUUGCAUCACUCAAAGAUGAUCCCGCGUUGUAUUAGCUAGUUGGUGAGGUAAAGGCUCACCAAGGCGAUGAUACAUAGCCGACCUGAGAGGGUGAGCGGCAAAAAUGGGAAUGGGAGACGGCCCAAAAGCCUACGGGAGGCAGCAGUAGGGAAACAUCGGAAAUGGACGAAAGUCUGACCGAGCAACGCCGCGGGAGUGAAGAAGGUUUUCGGAUCGUAAAACUCUGUUGGUAGAGAAGAACGUUGGUGAGAGUGGAAAGCGCAUAAAGUGACGGUAACUACCCAGAAAGGGACGGCUAACUACGUG